CGCCAUCUGGCUCAGUGGAUUAGAGCACUGGUCUUUUAAACCAGGAUACUUGAGGGUUCAAUCCCUCACUGGUGG